UACGAAGGGGGCUAGCGUUGCUCGGAAUCACUGGCGUAAAGGCGCACGUAGGCGGCUUUUUAAGUCAGGGGUGAAAUCCGUGGAGCUCAACUCCAGAACUGCCUUUGAUACUGGCGAUCUUGAGUCCGGGAGAGGGUGAGUGGAACUGCGAGUGUAGAGGUGAAAUUCGAUAGAUAUUCGCAAGAACACCAGUGGCGAAGGCGGCUCACUGGCCCGGUACUGACGCUGAGGUGCGAAAGCGUGGGGAGCAAACAGG
rnacentral:rRNA from 1 species